rnacentral:rRNA from 1 species
ANCAGCCGCGGUAAUUCCAGCUCCAAUAGCGUAUAUUAAAGUUGUUGCAGUUAAAAAGCUCGUAGUUGAACUUCAGACCUGGCCGGGUGGUCCGCCUAACGGUGUGUACUGUCUGGCCGGGCCUUACCUCUUGGUGAGCCGGCAUGCCCUUCACUGGGUGUGUCGGGGAACCAGGACCUUUACCUUGAGAAAAUUAGAGUGUUCAAAGCAGGCUUACGCCGGAAUACAUUAGCAUGGAAUAAUAAAAUAGGACGCGCGGUUCUAUUUUGUUGGUUUCUAGAGUCGCCGUAAUGAUUAAUAGGGAUAGUUGGGGGCAUUUGUAUUGCGUUGCUAGAGGUGAAAUUCUUGGAUUUACGCAAGACAAACUAUUGCGAAAGCAUUUGCCAAGGAUGUUUUCAUUAAUCAAGAACGAAGGUUAGGGGAUCGAAAACGAUCAGAUACCGUUGUAGUCUUAACAGUAAACUAUGCCGACUAGGGAUCGGACGACCUCAAUAUUAUGCGUCG